UACGAAGGGGGCUAGCGUUGUUCGGAAUUACUGGGCGUAAAGCGCGCGCAGGCGGUCUUCCAAGUCAGUGGUGAAAGCCCGGAGCUCAACUCCGGAACUGCCAUUGAAACUGUUGGACUUGAGUACGAGAGAGGUGAGUGGAAUUCCCAGUGUAGGAGGUGAAAUUCGUAGAUAUUGGGAAGAACACCGGUGGCGAAGGCGGCUCACUGGCUCGUAACUGACGCUCAGGCGCGACAGCGUGGGGAUCAAACAGG
rnacentral:rRNA from 1 species